rnacentral:lncRNA from 1 species
GUACGUCCACAGUACACCGGGCCCGUUGCUCGCUCCCCUCGGGCUCACACGACAGUACGACACGACGCGGCGAGAGCAACGGUGAAAGCGAACAGGCGCAUACAUUGACCACAGAAGGUACAACUCGUGUUGUACACCACAUGAAUGUGAGUACUUGCAGUAACGCCGCAUCAGUUUCACCUCCGAUCUCCAUCCCCAGGUACAGGACCCGUCGCUUCCCAUGCC